rnacentral:rRNA from 1 species
AGAGUUUGAUCCUGGCUCAGGACGAACGCUGGCGGCGUGCUUAACACAUGCAAGUCGAACGGAAAGGCCCUGCUUUUGUGGGGUGCUCGAGUGGCGAACGGGUGAGUAACACGUGAGUAACCUGCCCUUGACUUUGGGAUAACUUCAGGAAACUGGGGCUAAUACCGGAUAGGAGCUCCUGCUGCAUGGUGGGGGUUGGAAAGUUUCGGCGGUUGGGGAUGGACUCGCGGCUUAUCAGCUUGUUGGUGGGGUAGUGGCUUACCAAGGCUUUGACGGGUAGCCGGCCUGAGAGGGUGACCGGCCACAUUGGGACUGAGAUACGGCCCAGACUCCUACGGGAGGCAGCAGUGGGGAAUAUUGCACAAUGGGCGGAAGCCUGAUGCAGCAACGCCGCGUGCGGGAUGACGGCCUUCGGGUUGUAAACCGCUUUCGCCUGUGACGAAGCGUGAGUGACGGUAAUGGGUAAAGAAGCACCGGCUAACUACGUGCCAGCAGCCGCGGUGAUACGUAGGGUGCGAGCGUUGUCCGGAUUUAUUGGGCGUAAAGGGCUCGUAGGUGGUUGAUCGCGUCGGAAGUGUAAUCUUGGGGCUUAACCCUGAGCGUGCUUUCGAUACGGGUUGACUUGAGGAAGGUAGGGGAGAAUGGAAUUCCUGGUGGAGCGGUGGAAUGCGCAGAUAUCAGGAGGAACACCAGUGGCGAAGGCGGUUCUCUGGGCCUUUCCUGACGCUGAGGAGCGAAAGCGUGGGGAGCGAACAGGCUUAGAUACCCUGGUAGUCCACGCUGUAAACGGUGGGUACUAGGUGUGGGGUCCAUUCCACGGGUUCCGCGCCGUAGCUAACGCUUUAAGUACCCCGCCUGGGGAGUACGGCCGCAAGGCUAAAACUCAAAGGAAUUGACGGGGCCCCGCACAAGCGGCGGAGCAUGCGGAUUAAUUCGAUGCAACGCGUAGAACCUUACCUGGGUUUGACAUGGAUCGGGAGUGCUCAGAGAUGGGUGUGCCUCUUUUGGGGUCGGUUCACAGGUGGUGCAUGGCUGUCGUCAGCUCGUGUCGUGAGAUGUUGGGUUAAGUCCCGCAACGAGCGCAACCCUUGUUCACUGUUGCCAGCACGUUAUGGUGGGGACUCAGUGGAGACCGCCGGGGUCAACUCGGAGGAAGGUGGGGAUGACGUCAAGUCAUCAUGCCCCUUAUGUCCAGGGCUUCACGCAUGCUACAAUGGCUGG